AAGCUACAGUGAAAAGGAUGGUUCCUUUGUUUUUUUACAUCAGCCAACAUAGGGUCUUCAUUGGUAAAUAUGGAUCUUUGUGUACAAGUGGAGAAGUGCAUGGGAAGGGUGGUCCCUCAAGGCACUCAUGGAUAGAAAAAAGCCCAGCUUUCCAGUGAACUCAGUUAUUUUAGUCUCUGAAGUGCAGCUUUCAUUUAUCUAAUCUUUGGACUACCUCAGAGAAAAUCAUAUUAUCAUUUUCAGCCUGAAACCCUCAAUGGACCUAAACUCUACUUUUCUUUCCUAUCUAGCUCCUCAACCCUGAAUCAUGGAGACCUCAGAUACCUGCCUUCAUAUUCCUUUUUUUCUUCUCUUUUAUCAUCACUGUACUUCUUGUCUAACUCUACUCUUAUUUUGGAACUGGGUUUGUGGACAGAGCCCCCAAAUUGACAAUGAUUUCAGCUUGGGGAGGCCUUUCAGGAUUUAAUAAUAAGUGACAUUAACAUAGACAUUCUGUAAUUCCUCCAUUCCCAGUGACUCCUUGGUUUUAAAAUUAUUAUUCCCACUUUGCAGAUGACAAAAAUCAGGUUGAGAAAGGUUGAGUAAUCUAUUAAAGUCAGGCAGUUUGUAAGGGUAUAAGGCUGAACUUAAGUUCAUGGUGCCUGACUGCAGAUUCUUUGCCUUUUCCACAAAAUCUAGUAGCUUUGGGAUUUGAACAAUGAGAACAGAUCAAUACAGGGAGAGGAACAUCACACACCCAGGCCUGUCAGGGGGUUGGGGUGAGGGAAGGGAUAGCAUUGGAAGAAAUACUUAACGUAAUAAUUGACUGAUGGAUCAGUGCAGCAAACCACCGUGGCACAUGUAUACUAUGUAACAAACCUGCACGUUCUGCACAUGUAUCCCAGUACCUAAAGUGUAAUUUAAAAAAAAAAGAAAAAACAAAUCCAUAGAAAUAGAAAAGUGGAUUACUUGCAUAGGGCUGAGAAUUGUGACAUGGGAGAGUGGGGAUUGGGCAGUGACUGCUAAUAGUUAUAUACAUUUUUUAAAAACUGAAGAAAGGUCAUAUAAAGUUAAAAAGUUUCUGCACAUCCAAGGAAACAAUCAAUAAAGUGAAGAGAGACCCACAAAAUGGAGAAAAUAUUUGCCAUCUAUCCAUCUGACAAGGAAUUAAUAACCAGAUAUACAAGGAACUCAAACAACAAAAUAGGAAAAAAAUCUAAUAAUCCAAUUAAAAUAUGGGCAAAAGAUGAAUAGACAUUCCUCAAAAGAAGACAUACGUAUGGCACACAGGCAGACUGUUCUAGUAUCUAUCAAAGUGAUGCUUUAAAAGGAACAACUCUUCUUAAUAAUUGCAUUAAAAUAAUAUGGAAUUAGAAAUUUUCAUACUUCAAAUUUUAGAUUUUAUGUAACAUCUAUAUGUAUUUGCUUAUAUAGACAUAUAUAGUUCAUAUACAUGUGUAUGUAAAUAUGUGUGUGUGUAUCAGCUUUCCAUUUCAG
rnacentral:lncRNA from 1 species